UGCGAGUCGAGAGUCUUUAAGGACUCGGCGUACCGCUCAGUAACACGUGGGUAACCUGCCCUAUGCUGGAGAAUAACCUCGGGAAACUGAGAAUAAUGCUCCAUAGUUCACCACGCCUGGAACGGUGGGUGGAUCAAAGCUCCGGCGGCAUAGGAUGGGCCUGCGGCGUAUCAGGUCGUAGGGGGUGUAAAGUACCCUCUAGCCUUCAACGCGUACGGGUUGUGGGAGCAAUCGCCCGGAGAUGGAUUCUGAGACACGAAUCCAGACCCUACGGGGUGCAGCAGGCGCGAAAACUUCACACUGCAGGAAACUGUGAUGAGGGAAUUCCAAGUGGUAUGACAAAGUCAUAUCUUUUACCAACUUUUAAUCGGUUGGUGAAUAAGGGGUGGGAAAGACCGGUGCCAGCCGCCGCGGUAAUACCGGCACCCCAAGUGGUCGUCGCUUUUAUUGGGCCUAAAACGUCCGUCGCCUGUUUGGUACAUUCGUGGGUAAAUCAACCAGCUUAACUGGUUGAAUUCUGCGAGGACGGCCAGACUAGGGACCGGGAGAGGUAUGGGGUACUCUCAGGGUAGGGGUAAAAUCCAGUCAUCCUGAGGGGACCACCUGUUGCGAAGGCGCCAUACUA
rnacentral:rRNA from 1 species